rnacentral:lncRNA from 1 species
GUCCCUGCGGAGAUUUUUUUUUUUUUUUAAAUGGGGUAAGAUGUGAAGCUUCGUUGGGGAGGUAGUCAGUGGGCACAGUACUUGAGGACAAAUUAGAAACUGGCAUCUGGGAGGCAGAGGCAGAUUCCUGGAGGCUUCCUUGCCAGUGAGCCUCGCCACAUGGGCAAGCAAAUGGGUAAGUGCCUAGGUCCCAAUAAGAAGCCUUGCCUCAGAAACAGUGUGAGGGCCCAGCGAAUGGCUCAGUGGGUCAACAGCUUGCUGAGCUAGCGUGAGGACCAAAGUUCAAAUCCCAGCACUCAUGAGCACCAAGUACAUUCCUGUAAUAGCAGCCUUAGGAAGCUAAGAAAGACAGAUCCUGGAAGCCUGUGAAACAGUUAAAGAGGAUGCCUGAGGUCAACGUCUGGCCUCUACAAGUUCAUGAACAGGUAAGAACAGCAGACAUAAAACACACACUAGAUAGAUAGAUAGAUAGAUAGAUAGAUAGAUAGAUAGAUAGAUAGAUAGAUAGAUGAGAUAGGAGCAGUACCUAAGGAAUGAUCACAAUUUGUUAUUUGCUUUGGUUUUGAGGGCUUUUUGUUUGUUUGUUUUUUAGUUUUGGAAACAGGGUUUAUCCUGCCUCUGCCACAAGCUGGGACUAAAGGCGAG